rnacentral:lncRNA from 1 species
CUAGCAGGUGGCAGAGGUGUAUUUGAAAGUCAGCAGCAUUCUGACAGCAAUUAGAAUGUCCUCCGUCUGCUAGACUUCUUGAUUCUUAAAUUCUGUGGACCUCAAAUAGACAACAAAGCUUUGUGGAACUGAUUAAGUGUUAGCAUAAAUAUCUAGCCUUUAUCAUGUUGAGACUCCUCAAUAAAUGUUACUCCCUUUUUUUAUAUUUUCAUUUUAUAAAGCAGAAAAGACAUAUUUAUUUUAUUUUUAUGCCACCACAGUGAAUGUACUUAUGGGUUUCAUGCUACUCGUAUACUCACAUGGGGCUUACUAUUUUUUAUCAUUUUAAUUUUCUUUUUAGGAUAGUGAAAGCCCUAGUUUGGUUUUGGAUAAUUGAUGAAACCCUAGUACUAACCUCUAUGCUAAGUGUGUGUAGACUUAAUAAGG